rnacentral:rRNA from 1 species
CGAGUCGGCCUGCGCGGAAGAUGUAACGGGGCUAAACCAUGCACCGAAGCUGCGGCAGCGACACUGUGUGUUGUUGGGUAGGGGAGCGUUCUGUAAGCCUGUGAAGGUGGCCUGUGAGGGUUGCUGGAGGUAUCAGAAGUGCGAAUGCUGACAUAAGUAACGAUAAAGCGGGUGAAAAGCCCGCUCGCCGGAAGACCAAGGGUUCCUGUCCAACGUUAAUCGGGGCAGGGUGAGUCGACCCCUAAGGCGAGGCCGAAAGGCGUAGUCGAUGGGAAACGGGUUAAUAUUCCCGUACUUGGUGUUACUGCGAAGGGGGGACGGAGAAGGCUAUGUUGGCCGGGCGACGGUUGUCCCGGUUUAAGCGUGUAGGUGUGUGUUCCAGGUAAAUCCGGUUCACUUUAACACUGAGGCGUGAUGACGAGGCACUACGGUGCUGAAGCAACAAAUGCCCUGCUUCCAGGAAAAGCCUCUAAGCAUCAGGUAACACGAAAUCGUACCCCAAACCGACACAGGUGGUCAGGUAGAGAAUACCAAGGCGCUUGAGAGAACUCGGGUGAAGGAACUAGGCAAAAUGGUGCCGUAACUUCGGGAGAAGGCACGCUGACACGUAGGUGAAGUGAUUUACUCAUGGAGCUGAAGUCAGUCGAAGAUACCAGCUGGCUGCAACUGUUUAUUAAAAACACAGCACUGUGCAAACACGAAAGUGGACGUAUACGGUGUGACGCCUGCCCGGUGCCGGAAGGUUAAUUGAUGGGGUCAGCGCAAGCGAAGCUCCUGAUCGAAGCCCCGGUAAACGGCGGCCGUAACUAUAACGGUCCUAAGGUAGCGAAAUUCCUUGUCGGGUAAGUUCCGACCUGCACGAAUGGCGUAAUGAUGGCCAGGCUGUCUCCACCCGAGACUCAGUGAAAUUGAACUCGCUGUGAAGAUGCAGUGUACCCGCGGCAAGACGGAAAGACCCCGUGAACCUUUACUAUAGCUUGACACUGAACAUUGAGCCUUGAUGUGUAGGAUAGGUGGGAGGCUUUGAAGUGUGGACGCCAGUCUGCAUGGAGCCGACCUUGAAAUACCACCCUUUAAUGUUUGAUGUUCUAACGUGGACCCGUUACCCGGGUUGCGGACAGUGUCUGGUGGGUAGUUUGACUGGGGCGGUCUCCUCCUAAAGAGUAACGGAGGAGCACGAAGGUUGGCUAAUCCUGGUCGGACAUCAGGAGGUUAGUGCAAUGGCAUAAGCCAGCUUGACUGCGAGCGUGACGGCGCGAGCAGGUGCGAAAGCAGGUCAUAGUGAUCCGGUGGUUCUGAAUGGAAGGGCCAUCGCUCAACGGAUAAAAGGUACUCCGGGGAUAACAGGCUGAUACCGCCCAAGAGUUCAUAUCGACGGCGGUGUUUGGCACCUCGAUGUCGGCUCAUCACAUCCUGGGGCUGAAGUAGGUCCCAAGGGUAUGGCUGUUCGCCAUUUAAAGUGGUACGCGAGCUGGGUUUAGAACGUCGUGAGACAGUUCGGUCCCUAUCUGCCGUGGGCGCUGGAGAACUGAGGGGGGCUGCUCCUAGUACGAGAGGACCGGAGUGGACGCAUCACUGGUGUUCGGGUUGUCAUGCCAAUGGCACUGCCCGGUAGCUAAAUGCGGAAGAGAUAAGUGCUGAAAGCAUCUAAGCACGAAACUUGCCCCGA